AGCAGCCGCGGUAAUUCCAGCUCCAAUAGCGUAUAUUAAAGUUGUUGCAGUUAAAAAGCUCGUAGUUGAAUUUCGGGAUCAAAUUGUCGGUCGUGCUUCGGUACGCACUGGCAUUAUUGGUUUCUACCUUCUGAAGAACCGCGAUGUCAUUAAUUUGGUGUCGUGGGGAAUCAGGACUGUUACUUUGAAAAAAUUAGAGUGUUUAAAGCAGGCGCACGCUUGAAUACAUUAGCAUGGAAUAAUGAAAUAGGACGUUUGAUUCUAUUUUGUUGGUUUCUAGGAUCGACGUAAUGAUUAAUAGGGAUAGUUGGGGGCAUUAGUAUUCAAUUGUCAGAGGUGAAAUUCUUGGAUUUAUUGAAGACUAACUACUGCGAAAGCAUUUGCCAAGGAUGUUUUCAUUAAUCAAGAACGAAAGUUAGGGGAUCGAAGACGAUCAGAUACCGUCGUAGUCUUAACCAUAAACUAUGCCGACUAGGGAUCGGAUGAUGUUAAUUUUUUAAUGACUC
rnacentral:rRNA from 1 species